GGCCUAACACAUGCAAGUCGAGGGGUAGAGUAGGCUUGCUUACUUGAGACCGGCGCACGGGUGCGUAACGCGUAUGCAACCUACCUUUAUCUGGGGGAUAGCCCGGAGAAAUCCGGAUUAAUACCGCAUAAAAUCACAGAAUGGCAUUAUUCAAUGAUCAAACAUUUAUGGGAAGAAGAUGGGCAUGCGUGUCAUUAGCUAGUUGGCGGGGUAACGGCCCACCAAGGCGACGAUGACUAGGGGAUCUGAGAGGAUGGCCCCCCACACUGGUACUGAGACACGGACCAGACUCCUACGGGAGGCAGCAGUAAGGAAUAUUGGUCAAUGGAGGCAACUCUGAACCAGCCAUGCCGCGUGCAGGAAGACUGCCCUAUGGGUUGUAAACUGCUUUUAUCCGGGAAUAAACCUUUCUACGUGUAGGAAGCUGAAUGUACCGGAAGAAUAAGGAUC
rnacentral:rRNA from 1 species